rnacentral:rRNA from 1 species
GGCCUGGCUGGGCGGUCUGCCUUACGGUAUGUACUGUCUGGCUGGGUCUUACCUCUUGGUGAGCCGGCAUGCCCUUUACUGGGUGUGUCGGUGAACCAGGACUUUUACCUUGAGAAAAUUAGAGUGUUCAAAGCAGGCUUAUGCCCGAAUACAUUAGCAUGGAAUAAUAAAAUAGGACGUGCGAUUCUAUUUUGUUGGUUUCUAGAAUUGCCGUA